AACGUAGGAGACAAACGUUAUCCGGAGUUACUGGGCGUAAAGGGCGUGUAGGUGGUUUCGUAAGUCUGGCGUGAAAUAUCUCGGCUUAACCGAGGCAGGUCGUCGGAUACUGCGGGACUAGAGGACGGUAGAGGCGUGUGGAAUUCCGGGUGGAGUGGUGAAAUGCGUAGAGAUCCGGAGGAACACCAGAGGCGAAGGCGGCCUACUGGGCUGCACCUGACGCUGAGCCGCGAAAGCCAGGGGAGCGAUCGGG
rnacentral:rRNA from 1 species